CAUGGAGCCCUGACCACAUUUCAGGAAAAUCACCCAUUCCUCUUGCCUGUGGUCUUGUUGCAGUCAGCCCCAGGAUGCUUGAGCACCAUGUGGGCUGCCCCACGACUGGGACAAGUGAAGGCCACGGACAGGAGCAGAGGCUGGGAAUCAGACAUAUUCUCCACUGUAGCUGUAGCCCGAGACUGGAGGAACCCUUUCCAUUAGGUUCACGCUGUUGAGAUCGCCUGAGAGACGGUGACACUCAGGAGGAAGCAAAGAGGAGGCCACUGAAGUGGGAAGAAGACAGCUCCAGAGGACUUUUUCUUGUGUGUCUGUAUCUCAGCAGUCCAUUCUUGCUCCAUUCAAAAUGCUGAGACAUCUGCUUCCUGCUCCAGCAUCCCUACUAUUAGCCCUAGCAAGCUAGUGGCCAGGUAUGAACUUGCAAAAAGCACAUUAAGAACUGAAUGUUUAGGGGCUCCUGGGUGGCU